UGCUUUUCCACUGAUUGUGGGAGCCUGGCUCUUUCCUUCAUCAAGAAGACAAGAGUAAUGAUGUGCUUGAUUCGAGGGGUAGGGGUAGACAUGGCCAGGGAAGAAGAGAAACAAUACAGAGCAGCAAGUAGGUACACAGACUCCUGAAUGUUCUCCAUAACCAUACAUUUCAUGUAAACACCAACCAGAAAAACUGAAAAUAUAUGUACACACUGUAUUUCACAAUAAUUAACAAUGGUCAAGUCCAUCAAUAACGCAAAUGUCCAAGUCUGUUAAGUUCAGUACCCCAACUAAACUUUCUAAAUCUCACGGUUCGGUCCCCAUUUGGGCGCCACUCUGUAGCGUGGUACCUUAUGGGGUUUGGACGCCAGACAGUUCAAAUUAACAGUCACUUAUAACUUAUAAUUUGGACAUCACUCAGAAUAAGGCUACUCAAUUCUUACAAAAUAAGUUUAUUAUUAUUUAUGCAAUAAACAUAAGAAAAUACAGAUCGUUUCAGUCAUAGAAACCGAAAUAAUGAAAACCAAAAAGUUCCCCUACGUGGGAUUAAUAAACGCACCCAUAAGGAAAUAAGGCUCUAUUCAUAAAAGAAACUUUUCACACACAAAAGGCAGAAAAAAACAUUUAACCCCAAAAUAAUUCUUAACCAAAACAAAAAAGUUGUUCACUUUAAAGCUGCACUUCAAUGGCGGCGAUUUAGGCGUACGGGAGUUCGUGAACCCGAAAGCAUGGGAAAGAGCAGUCAGAUUCCGCUUAACACUCGGAGUUCUUUACAGCCAGUAACAUCCAACGAUUUAAACAUACUGGUUCUCCACAAAAGUAUUAAAGAAAGGAUCUCAAACCCGUGAUGUGCCUCCGAACCCUCAAAACUCCGCUCGCUAGUUUAAUCACCUUGGCAGAAUAUUCCCGAAGUGUUCACCAGCCUCCUGAAUCAAUAUCCACAAGGUUAUAAUCCACAGUAAGAGCAUUAGAAUGGUCCUUGGCAAACGCACACCAUCAGUUCCGCCAUUCCCACCUGGCGCUAAUUUCCGCGUCCCGCUUUCUCUCACCUAGUCACCUGUUCUUUUUAUUGCUUCCUAAGACCCCACCCUUCUCUUCAUCUCUUUUUUUACUUCCGUUAAUUAAAACACCACGGAAUGGAACGGACUCCGCUUCUGCGUCACUAAAUGGUAAAUGGUGCAGUUAUAGCCAAAGCGCUUUACACUGUGUCUCAUUUACCCAUUCGCACACCAAUGAUAGCAGAGCUGCCAUACAAGGCGCUAACUUGCCAUCGGGAGCAACUUGGGGUUCAUUGUCUUGCCCAAGGACACUUUGGCAUGUGGAGUCAGGCUGGCUGGGAACCGCCAACCCUACGAUUAGUGGACAACCCGCUCUACCACCUGAUCCACAGCCGCCCCUGUCACUGUGCAGCUAUCUGUUACAAAUGAAUGGGAAAAUAUCCUUGGCAUCCCUGCAAUUCAAGGAUGUUGUAAUUGGUAAGUUGUGAUGUCAAAAGUAUCUGUACCAAGUUGAUACUAAAAUUUUAAAAAGAAUGAUACGAUAAGUUUUUUUUUUUCAGUACCGGCAGUACCAAGUAUUCUCCUGCUUUCUGAUUGACUUUCUUUUGUAGGUAUUAAUUAACCGUGAUUUACACUCAGCCAUCUUACUGGAAUUUGUGUAGGUUAGGAAUAAGACUGAGGAUGGAGUUGUACAGUUUUGUAGUGUGUAUCAUUUGUAAAUAUUGUUAACUUCUUUACCAUAGCUAUGCUGAGGGAGGUGUUGACUAAAUUAGAGAUGGAGCUGGACCAACAAACCACUGAGCUUGCUUCAACUACAGGUGUUCCAGGUGCAGUCUUUGGAUACUGAUGAAGAUUUACUGCCCUACAAGAUCUUCCUCAACUGCAUAGUCUGGAGCAAAGGAUGCAACAGAGCUCGGAUUGCAAGCAAAAACUGGGCGGAUGUGCUUGACUGCACUUGGCGCAUAUUGAAGAGGGUGAUUGCUAAUUCCCUGGCAAAGAACCUCAAUUGGAGAGGAGUCAAUGGAAAGACUUCACUGGCCACUCUCCAACUUGGAGAGGUCAUGAUUGAAACCUCUUCACAGCUAAUGCUGCAGAGAUGGAGGUUGAGGGGACCAUGAAGAGGUGGCUCCAGCUGGCAUCAGAUGGAGAGAAGACUUUUGAAAACUUUUGCAAAAAGAAGGUAUUUAGAGUGUUUUAACUGUGGUGUCUUUGUUAAUUUGUUAAAAUGUUCAUAUUAUAGUCUAUUUUUGAUUGUUUAUAAAAGUCCUUGCUGUUUUUAAGUGGUUGAAAUUGUGUGUGUGUUGGUACAGUAGCUGGGUGGCUAUACAGUUGCGGUCAGAAGUUUACAUACCCCUUGCAGAAUCUACAAAAUCUUAAUACUCUUAACAAAAUAAGAUUGAUCAUAAAAAUCCUGUUUCUUAUUUAGUACCGCCAUGAAUAAGCUAUUUCACAUAACAGAUGUUUACAUAUAGUCCACAAGAUAAUAGCUGAAUUAAUCAAAAUUACCCCAUUCAAAAGUUUACACACGUUUGAUUCUUAAUACUGUGUGUCGUUACCUGAACGACAGGUCCUUCACAUACUUUGCUUUUCCUGCAUAUUUUAGCCCUUUCCAGUAGAGGUUAUAUGAUGUUCCGAUCCAUCUUUUCACACUGAGGACAAU